ACGGAAGGCAGCAGUGGGGAAUAUUGCACAAUGGGGGAAACCCUGAUGCAGCAACGCCGCGUGAGUGAUGAAGUAUUUCGGUAUGUAAAGCUCUAUCAGCAGGGAAGAAAUUGACGGUACCUGACUAAGAAGCCCCGGCUAACUACGUGCCAGCAGCCGCGGUAAUACGUAGGGGGCAAGCGUUAUCCGGAUUUACUGGGUGUAAAGGGAGCGUAGACGGCAAGGCAAGUCAGAAGUGAAAUGCGGGGGCUUAACCCCUGAACUGCUUUUGAAACUGUUUAGCUAGAGUAUCGGAGAGGUAAGUGGAAUUCCUAGUGUAGCGGUGAAAUGCGUAGAUAUUAGGAGGAACACCAGAGGCGAAGGCGGCUUACUGGACGAUUACUGACGUUGAGGCUCGAAAGCGUGGGGAGCAAACAGGAUUAGAUACCCUGGUA
rnacentral:rRNA from 1 species